rnacentral:ribozyme from 1 species
GGCUUUCAAUUUUUUUUUUUUUUUUUUUUUUUUUUUUCAC